ensembl:lincRNA
GCGGGGAGCAGCAUCCACAGCCUUGAGGGGGACCCUGAGGGGUGCAGUAGCGUUGAGAGCUGUCGCGGUUGCGGUGUUGUCGGAUAGUUCCUUUAAAAAUGGCUCGCUAAAGAACUGGACGAGACAAACCAAAAAAGGUGUCAAGAGUUUAUUUGACAAUGAGGGGUGAGGCGUGAAAAACAAGCUCUGCAGAGCAAACUUGGACCAAACAAAGAGAGAAAGGAGGAAAAAAAGAGCGAAACUAGAAGUACACUCCGGGUCUGGGAGACCCAGGACAGGCUACCGCGAAGAGUCAGGACGCGGAGCGCCUCCUGGAGUCCGGUCUUCUUUAUGCUGUCCACAUCUCCGGGGAGCUCUGAGACGUUCUCUACACAAAGAGAUCCUGCAAACCAUCUGGCUUCGCCCUGGGAUCUUGAAAUUGACAGGUCCCGCCCACUCCUCCGGCCAGCUUUGCCUUACCCGACCUCCUGCCUCAGCUGUACUCAGAGGCCCUCCUCGGUGGGACCCCUGGCCUUCCAGUGCCCUAGAUUUAUGACUCACAGCAAGCUCUCCAGCUUUUCUGAAUCUCAGAACAUUACAUGGCACAAUGCGUGGGAAAUGCCUGGCACAUACUAAGCCCUCCACCAAUAUAACAGCUUCGUUCCCCAGAUCUAGAGCAGGAGGGGUCUAGGCCAUGGCAAUCUGCCCCAUGAGUCUUGGAAGGGCCUCUGGAUUUGGAGGCCUCACAAUGGGCUAGAACUCUACCUCACUCAGGGUUCUCAACCACUGGGACUCUUCUGCUGUCCCAGGGCGGGGAGGAAGGGCCCGGGACAAGGUGCUGGAGGGAAUAUCCCCCUGGAUUUUAUAUUCCUUCACUGGUGUGCUUGAAACGCCUAAGCUCCCACAAGACCUUUUGGGUGGCUGCCACUGGCCAGCAGCCUGUCUCUCUGCCCACCCCAAAGGCUGCUCUGCUCCUAAUCAUAUCUGUAGUUAUGGGUGUGGCCGGGCGGUUCUUCAAGUUCUUUAGGCAGAUUUGGCAAAGGAUGGCCUGUUGGGUUGGCUUCUGGAAAUGCCAAAUGAAGCAGGCCAUCUUGAAACACUCUGGCUCUAAGAAACAUACGUUGAAGGGGGUGGGGAAGACUCCCCCACAGCUGGAGAUUUGCAAGUUGACCAAGUCCCCUGGAGAAGCUAAGCUCCCCAGGGAGCAGCAGUCCUCUGGAGUGUCUGAGCCCUCUGUGCUGGCCAGUUCCACAGACAGGACCCGGAUUGGGUUGAGCCACAAGAGCCGCUCUUUGCUGCGGGUGCCCCGGACGGCCGUGCGGUCAGCUUCCAUGAUCAUGCUCUCUGCCCUGCAGUCCAGCUGGCAAAUGUGCUGGUGGAAGCCAUCUGCCAGCUCUGCCUCCAUUUCCUCCCAGUUGAGGACCUCGUCCCCUCUGGACACGCCCGAGGCCGAGCUGCUGCGAGAGGUGUACCUGGUGCUGUGGGCCAUUCGGAAGCAACUUCGGCACCUGGCCCGCCGACAGGAGAGACACAGAAGCCACCACCACGUCAGGACCUACUCCUCUGCCUUGGCCGAACCAGUGCUAGAACUGAAGAAGGAUGCUAGAAGUCCCCUGUAAGGGUCCCCCUCCUCAACGUAGCAAAAUAAACAGUAUUAAAGGGCUGGGGGUGGAGCCCAGUGCAAAGAUCCUGGGUUUGAUUCCCAGCAUUGCUCCCUCGCCCCUGUGUGCCAAAAACUAUUUACAGUGGUUUGUGAGAAAGACCCUACAACCAAGGAGACCUGGCUGGAAAUGCCCAGUCAGAAGCCCCCACCGCCCUGCCUCUCUGACCCUUUGGGUUUAGCUUUGUGUUUGGAGGGUCGCCAUUCUAAAGGUGCUCUUGGGGCUGCAGGAGAUGCAACCCCUGGGAAGAGACAUUGGUCCCUCUGCCUGGCCACCUUGGUUCUGCUCAGGGACUUGCUCUGGCCAGAGCCAGGCUGGGGAGGCCAGAUGAUCAGGAGGAGAUAGGGGAGUGCAGCUUGGCACCAAUGACCAAGUGUCCUACGGGAGACCAUGGUGAUUUGGACGAGGGUUAGCAAACCAGCAAGAGGAGAUACUCUGGCGCCACAAGCUGCAAGGACUUAGACACCUUCUAACCCAGCCUUGAGAGGUACAGACACAUCUCCCAAGAAAAAGCAGUGGCAUUUCACCAGACAGCAGCAGGUGGGAAUUUGAGGAUUCACAGGGGUUGGGGGUGGCAGAGGCUAAGGGGCAGCAGAUUUGCAGCGAAGGGGAGGGGAAGGAAAGGGAGGAGAGGAAGACAGAGGAAAAAGAGGCAAGUGGGGAGAGACAGAGAAGGGAGAGAAGGGUGUGGGAGGGGAUGGAUGAGAGAAUACGGGAGGGGAGAGGUGAGGACAGGAGGGGAAGGGAUGAAA